rnacentral:rRNA from 1 species
UUUUAAAUUUAGAGUUUGAUCCUGGCUCAGGACGAACGCUGGCGGCGUGCUUAACACAUGCAAGUCGAGCGAUGAAGCUUCCUUCGGGAAGUGGAUUAGCGGCGGACGGGUGAGUAACACGUGGGUAACCUGCCUCAAAGUGGGGGAUAGCCUUCCGAAAGGAAGAUUAAUACCGCAUAAUAUAAGAGAAUCGCAUGAUUUUCU